CUUGUUCCUAGUAGUUCCUACAAGUACUGCUCGUGAAAAUCCAAAUGGCUACUUACAUGGUUGACGCGUGCCUUCCCAAGCUCGAAUUAUUUGCUGGUAAAGAUUCCAAAAAUUCUGAAAUUUUCUUGAUAGGACCUAAUUCACAUAAUAAUAGGAUCAGAGUUGAAAUCGGGGCGAAAAACAAGCAAACGGAGGUCAAAUAGAGGGAAAAAGGUUACUUAC